rfam:Schistosoma mansoni, Puerto Rico, WGS project CABG01000000 data, contig: 0126
AGCUUUCUGAAUCCGUGCAUAGGUUUCGUCGAACACCAACACAUUAGGACUGAUCAGACUUUCAAGAUAAGUGAAGUU